AUAGGAGGGUUUACCUUCAUUAAUCACUGUGUCAUGUGGCUCCCGUGACUCGUUUCAUUUCUCAGCAAAUCUGAGAGCAGUAAGAAGCCUUGUAAGAUGAACACAUGCUAUCUUUUGGUCCAGAUACAGAUGCUAAACAGAAACUCCUUCAUGACAUUUAACAAGUUUGUUGGUGAUUGCUAACAUUUCCCAUACAUAGUCAAUGUCUUAGUUGCGGGCUACUUAAACUUACCUAUAUUUUAUUGUGUUCUAUUUUUCCCUAUUGAAAAGAAAAUCCUUAUAUAGGAAAGUUUAUUUUAAAUAUAAAAAAUAGGUUAGUGCUUACAUAACAAAAUGCAUUUGUAAUCCACUUGAGUUAUCAAGUAUAUCCAAAAGGAUAAAUGCAGACUUUCUUCCUUCCAACUCAUGGAAACUAAGGUGAAUAUAGAAAUUACAAAAGUAUAAAAAGAGUAGUGUAAAAAUUUGGAAACAUAUACUUUGUGAAGAAAUUUUUUUUCAUGUAAAGUUAAUUAAUAAGAUACAUUCACGUAGACAGGAGAAGUUUUGGGCAAUACAUUAGGCUACAUGAUAUAAAAAAAAUUUCUAAUCUUUGACAAAUAAAAGUCAAGUGUAAGAUUAAAAUUAGAGGAAGGAGCGUUGGGCAAUCUCUUUUCUGUACAUUUACAAGUUAGAUAGUUGUACUUAAAUAUUCUAAAUCACUAUGCUAUCUUUUUUGGAAUAACAAGAACUGCAAGAGUCCUUUGAAGAACUCCUUUGAAACAUAAGCAGAUGGUCAGUCGCCUUGACAGAUGCUAAAAGCGAUAGUCAGUGGCCGUAGUAGUGUUACUGUUCUGUGGCUUUGGAGCUAUCUCUAAUCUAAGCCAAACAACCCCCAAAUUCCUAAGCCAACAACAACAACAAAACAAACAGAAACCUUGAAAACAGGAAAGAGACAGUUACCAGACUAAGUUCUGGUAAGUGGACUUUGAAGAUUAUGGGCAUUCCAUAUAUGUUUACUCUGUUUGGCUUUUGGUCAAAAGAAAAGUGGUAUGUUGCAUCCCCUUUGAGUAGAGACUGCGAAAUGUACACAUUGUGGCCACCCAGUGGAAGGACUCGAGUUUAGCAAGUAGCAAUGCUGAAAUCAUCCUAAAUAAAACAGUAAUUAUGUUGCCUCUCAUUUUCCUUGGCAAUUUUAAUUCGUCAUUCAGGAUCUCUAUAAGAUGAUGCGAGGCUGGAACUUAAAAUUGGCCUAGGGAUUCAACCCAAAGAUGACGGAAGCUGGCACUUGCUCCUUACACACGGGGUCUUCACCCUAGAAAACAGAAACCCAUUUCUCUGAUUGCUUUCAGGUGUGGAGGAGAACAUGGAGGGUUGUUGUUGUUCUUCUUCUUAUUGUUGUUGUUAUUGUUGUUGUUUAUGAUUCAUUAUGAGUUCCAUCUGUAAUAGAGACCUAAGAUUGGUUUCUCAUCAUAAUAUUGAAGCAUAUGGCAUACAACUUCUAUAUAAAUCAUGCUUUAGUUUCUUACUCCAGCUGACAUAGGGAAAGGAUUUCCAGAGUAUUUUCAAAGGCUGUGUUGUUUAACAGGUUAGAGUUUCUUAGGUACCUAUUUGGGGAGGACAUGCUCCACUGGGAACUAGAUGAGUGCUAUGCAGAGACCCACCAGUGAUCUUUAGGAACUGCACUACUCAGUCUUGAACGGCCUUGUUACACAUUGCCCUCGAAAACAAUACCCUGUUGUUUCCUAAGGCUCACCUGCUUGGAAGAAAUCUGAGAGCAUUAUGUUCAAAUUAUAUAGGAAUUCUUGGGGACAAUUGUCCUGAGAAAGAUAAUUUGCUUAAGUGGAGCUGACUUAAUAGAAUUUUAGUGCAUUGAGGGAAUGUCAUCACUGUCUGCCUCUCCAGGUAGAUUGCCUGAACUAAAUGUUUAUUUCUAUAUCACUACAAAGCAUACAUGUAUCUAUCUAUAAAUAAAUGAAAAGGACUGUGGUUAAACAGCUGCCAUUUACUUGCAAUAACAUGAUUAGGAAAAGUAGAAAGAUGGCUGUGAAGAGUUUGAUCUGCUGCAGUGCCCUUCCCAGUUGCAAGGAGGGGUACUUUAUUAAAUUUAUUAUAAAUAAAAAAUGAAAGGCUUGCAUGUUAUUUUUAUUGAAUUAAGUAAGUAAGUUUUCUAGAAUAUUUUGCACAGAAGUUUUAACACAGUAAAUACUUAUACAAAGUAAACAAAUACAGUUUGAUAAUUUCCUAUUAAUGUGUGUGUGUGUGUGUGUGUGUGUGUGUGUGUGUGACAAUAUGAAUAUGUGAUGUGCAUAGGUAGCAUGCUUUGAUGUUUUAGAAGGGAACAUUUAUUUUCAAACAGACUUGCCACUUACCCU
rnacentral:lncRNA from 1 species